rnacentral:rRNA from 1 species
UACGAAGGGUGCAAGCGUUACUCGGAAUUACUGGGCGUAAAGCGUGCGUAGGUGGUUCGUUAAGUCUGUCGUGAAAGCCCCGGGCUCAACCUGGGAAUGGCGAUGGAUACUGGCGGGCUCGAGGCCGGUAGGGGGAAGCGGAAUUCCGGGUGUAGUGGUGGAAUGCGUAGAUAUCCGGAGGAACACCAGUGGCGAAGGCGGCUUCCUGGACCGGUUCUGACACUGAGGAGCGAAAGCGUGGGGAGCGAUCCGG